CCUACGGGAGGCAGCAGUGGGGAAUAUUGGACAAUGGGCGAAAGCCUGAUCCAGCAAUGCCGCGUGAGUGAUGAAGGCCUUAGGGUUGUAAAGCUCUUUUACCAGGGAUGAUAAUGACAGUACCUGGAGAAUAAGCUCCGGCUAACUCCGUGCCAGCAGCCGCGGUAAUACGGAGGGAGCUAGCGUUGUUCGGAAUUACUGGGCGUAAAGCGUACGUAGGCGGUUAUUCAAGUCAGAGGUGAAAGCCUGGAGCUCAACUCCAGAACUGCCUUUGAAACUAGAUAGCUAGAAUCUUGGAGAGGUGAGUGGAAUUCCGAGUGUAGAGGUGAAAUUCGUAGAUAUUCGGAAGAACACCAGUGGCGAAGGCGACUCACUGGACAAGUAUUGACGCUGAGGUACGAAAGCGUGGGGAGCAAACAGGAUUAGAUACCCUGGUAGUCCACGCCGUAAACGAUGAUAACUAGCUGUUCGGGCUCUACGAGCUUGAGUGGCGCAGCUAACGCAUUAAGUAUCCGCCUGGGGAGUACGGUCGCAAGAUUAAAACUUAAAGGAAUUGACGG
rnacentral:rRNA from 1 species